AGUUGAGUGUCGGAUAGUGGCGGACGGGUGAGUAACACGUGGGCAACCUGCCCUACAGCCUGGGAUACCAUCGGGAAACCGAUGUUAAUACCGGAUACGCUCUUUUGAUCGCAUGAUCUAAGGAGGAAAGAUUUAUCGCUGUAGGAUGGGCCCGCGGUCCAUUAGCUAGUUGGUAGGGUAACGGCCUACCAAGGCGACGAUGGAUAGCUGGUCUGAGAGGACGGUCAGCCACACUGGGACUGAGACACGGCCCAGACUCCUACGGGAGGCAGCAGUGGGGAAUAUUGCGCWAUGGGGGCAACCCUGACGCAGCAAUGCCGCGUGAAGGAUGAAGGCUUUCGGGUCGUAAACUUCUGUCURGRGGGAUGAAUUUUGACAGUACCUCUGGAGGAAGCCCCGGCUAACUACGUGCCAGCAGCCGCGGUAAUACGUAGGGGGCAAGCGUUGUCCGGAAUCACUGGGCGUAAAGCGCGCGUAGGUGGUCUAGUAAGUCAGAUGUUAAAAUGCGGGGCUCAACCCCGUAAUGCAUUUGAAACUGCUGGACUUGAGGACAGGAGAGGAAAGUGGAAUUCCUAGUGUAGCGGUGAAAUGCGUAGAUAUUAGGAGGAACACCAGUGGCGAAGGCGACUUUCUGGACUGUACCUGACAC
rnacentral:rRNA from 1 species